GCAGGGCGCACGGGACCUGUGCUGCAGCGGCUCUCUCAGGCCGUGGGUCGUCGCUGCAGCUGCCGGGAAAGAAGGAAACGACGACUCCGGGGGCGAACUUGGCACACAGGGAGGAAGGGAAAGGAUUCUGGAGACACCUGGCAUCUCCGUUUUUGAGUUUCUCCCCGCUCUUGUCAGUUGAUUCGUAGGCCUGAAAUGCAUGGUCAUGGAGGCUAUGAUUCUGAUUUUAGUGAUGAUGAACGCUGUGGAGAAUCCAGCAAAAGGAAAAAAAGGACAGUUGAAGAUGACUUACUGCUCCAAAAACCAUUUCAGAAAGAAAAACAUGGAAAGGUGGCCCAUAAACAAGUUGCAGCAGAAUUGCUGGAUAGG
rnacentral:lncRNA from 1 species